CACUGCUAGUGCUUGAACGAAGACGCGGCAUACGGAAAAAAAGAGACCGGAAAUACCUCGAAAUGUACGUUACUUCGUUUGACGCGAAAGAAUUUACCCUGGGAGCAUACGAAGCACCAAUAUGCGUCCCGGUCUCCGGCGGUCGGAUGUUGAUGUGAGUCCCCCCAACGUCAGCACGGUGAUGUGCGACGCGAGUGAGCCUUUCUACUUUUUGGCGGAGACCCCUUUUCGCCAGCAAGUGACUCGGUGUCUCCGUGAAGCACCGAAGUGUAGCUACAGCCCUCUUCGGCGAGCUGAACGGGCAGCCGAGCUUUCGAAGGCCGAUCUCCCGCAGCGCUGGAACCCGGAGAACCGCGCCAUGGCGCUCGCUGAGAAUCCACCGGCUGCCGGGCUACUGAAAGGGCCCUCUGCUCGGAGGACAUGCUGAGGGCCCUGUAUAAUGCCCUCGGCGCCUGUGCGACUUCCGGGGGUCUGCGUUUCACGGCCCCGUUACCAGCUGGGAAGUUCUCCAUGGAGUUGCUAAUGGCAUGGGAGGACAAAUACGCUGCUCAAGAGUGUAACCGGAUCGUUUGACUACUGGGACGACUCUUUUACAGGGGACGACAUCCUGUCCAGCACCAGCUUCACCAUCUGGGACCAAGUGCACGAGGGGUCGCACUGCAAGGAGAUGAAAGGAGGGCACUGCGACCUUGAGGUCAAGCUUGUACAUCUACCAUUACAGUCCUGAAUGGAUGCCAAUUGGUACUGAUGACGUUAUGAAGGUGAAACGUCCCUGGAUCUAAAGGGAAAAUUUGAUUGAAGGCGAGCUGAAGUUGUUUCUGACUUUAUCCUCUUACGACUUGAAAGUAAUCUGCCUACUUCAUGAAUACCGAAGAUGCAGAAUUUGUUUCCGUAACUGUCCCACUUCAACGUAAUGUGCACAUUGAAACCUGUUCCUUUUCUUUUUCUGCUUUCCGGCGAGA